AGUGAACGCUGGCGGUAGGCCUAACACAUGCAAGUCGAACGGCAGCACAGAGGAGCUUGCUCCUUGGGUGGCGAGUGGCAGACGGGUGAGGAAUACAUCGGAAUCUACUCUGUCGUGGGGGAUAACGUAGGGAAACUUACGCUAAUACCGCAUACGACCUACGGGUGAAAGCAGGGGACCUUCGGGCCUUGCGCGAUUGAAUGAGCCGAUGUCGGAUUAGCUAGUUGGCGGGGUAAAGGCCCACCAAGGCGACGAUCCGUAGCUGGUCUGAGAGGAUGAUCAGCCACACUGGAACUGAGACACGGUCCAGACUCCUACGGGAGGCAGCAGUGGGGAAUAUUGGACAAUGGGCGCAAGCCUGAUCCAGCCAUACCGCGUGGGUGAAGAAGGCCUUCGGGUUGUAAAGCCCUUUUGUUGGGAAAGAAAUUCAGCUGGCUAAUACCCGGUUGGGAUGACGGUACCCAAAGAAUAAGCACCGGCUAACUUCGUGCCAGCCGCCGCAGUAA
rnacentral:rRNA from 1 species